GACUUGAAUGGAAAUGCGGAGCAGUCCUCAUCUGCUCCAUACAGCGAACUUCCAGGGCGCACGACGGCGAUGUAACUAAUGUUUUCCUCUUGGCAGUGAGGGCCUUCUCUGACACUGAAUUGUUAGAAGAAGGGAGAUGACACCUUCAAACUUUCUGGCUGGGGAGGAAGCCAAAGCUCUCCAUCAGGCCUCCUUUGACAACCAAGUGAAGGAUGUACUGGGCCAUGGCCAUGCCUGCGGAAAGAAUCUCUGGGGAGAUCCAUGAUGGCUUUCCAGAGAAGAGAGCAUGACAGAAGUUUUGCUUCUCAGAAACAUUCCCCUGAGACACAUCUGUGCCAUCUGACAAGAGGAUAAGAUAGAAGAACAGAGCCCGGGCAGCUGCCUCCUGUCCAGGUGAAAUCUGGCAUAAUUAAAUGACCAAGAUCAUCUGCACUAUCUUUCCUAUUGGUCCCCAUUUCUGAAAGGAUGGAAAUGCAUGCCUCUCAACAUCAUCAAAAGAAGACCUUGAGCACUGAAUAUCAUUGAAGAAGGCAGCAAAGGAGUACCAGGAGAAACUCUGUUGUUGUGGGGGAAUUGCUGUGUCCUGAUGGAGGAGUCUGGUCCACACUAGGCACAGACCCUGGAUCCCUGAGCCAUCCUAACCUAAUGCUCCACUGUCUUGGUACCAGGGGAUUCUAGUACUUCCCAUGCCUCUGCCAAAUUCUCCUUUUGGAAUAUCAGGGACAUAGAGAUACUUUUUUAAAAAGCUGUAACUUAAGUUCUUCCUAAAUCAUUAUUUCUCCAAAGUAU